GACGAACGCUGGCGGCGUGCUUAACACAUGCAAGUCGAACGGAAAGGCCUUUUCGGAGGUACUCGAGUGGCGAACGGGUGAGUAACACGUGGGUGAUCUGCCCUGCACUCUGGGAUAAGCCUGGGAAACUGGGUCUAAUACCGGAUAGGACCGCACUUUAGUGUGUGUGGUGGAAAGUUUUUUCGGUGUAGGAUGAGCCCGCGGCCUAUCAGCUUGUUGGUGGGGUAAUGGCCUACCAAGGCGGCGACGGGUAGCCGGACUGAGAGGUUGGUCGGCCACAUUGGGACUGAGAGACGGCCCAGACUCCUACGGGAGGCAGCAGUGGGGAAUAUUGCACAAUGGGCGCAAGCCUGAUGCAGCGACGCCGCGUGGGGGAGGACGGCCUUCGGGUUGUAAACUCCUUUCGCCAGGGACGAAGCGUUUUGUGACGGUACCUGGAGAAGAAGCACCGGCUAACUACGUG
rnacentral:rRNA from 1 species